UACGUAGGGCGCAAGCGUUAUCCGGAAUUAUUGGGCGUAAAGAGCUCGUAGGCGGUUUGUCGCGUCUGCCGUGAAAGUCCGGGGCUCAACUCCGGAUCUGCGGUGGGUACGGGCAGACUAGAGUGAUGUAGGGGAGACUGGAAUUCCUGGUGUAGCGGUGAAAUGCGCAGAUAUCAGGAGGAACACCGAUGGCGAAGGCAGGUCUCCGGGCAUUAACUGACGCUGAGGAGCGAAAGCGUGGGGAGCAAACGGG
rnacentral:rRNA from 1 species